AUGGCAUUUCUUAAAUAUUAGGAAGGCAGCACUUUUGAGAUUUAAAUUCUGCAUCUAGCCUGCAAUCAUUUUUACCUCGUGUUAAAUAAAAGUACCACGUCAGAGGAGGGGCUGGGAGCGAGUUAAGUGAAAUGGAUACGGAACUUAGACACCUUCUCGGGAGGCUGCCUGGCGAGGGCGCCUGGUGGAGCGGGGAUGCCCUUCUACUGGUGACCGAUUGCAGGCCUGGGCAAAUAUUUCCCAUCACCCCCUCCCUGGGCAGUUGUGUGUGGGUUUAGUUUGUUCUGAAAGUCCUUUCAAGGACACAAAUAGUCCCAGAGCUUUCUUUAGUCUUUCAAAAGUGCCUUCGUUAUCUGUCCCAAGUUUAUCCAUAGAGAUUUUGGAGGAAUAUUUUUUACUUCCUUCAAGCUGAGUAGUUUACAACUGCUUUCCUCUCCUUCGGGGGGUCCCAGCACCCUGCUGAUCUCUUCCUAGGAGAAUGACACGCAGAGUGAAGAGACUAGGACCUGAAUGCGCUCACCUGCUGUCCCUCGUUCUGUGACUUACGAGCUUUUCUCAGGCUCAUCCAGGUGACACCCAGCAAGCCGGCCCCUCCAGCCCCUCACCCACCCGCCCCAGAUGUAGCCGGAGUCUUCGGAAAGGUCGUAGAUGUUUGCGAACGCCUGGCUGGCUGUUUGGAAACAUUUUGUCAGUGCGGAAUAGGAACUGCAGGCAGAAGAGCCGAAGCUGCCUCCCCAGAGCGGGUCCCUGGACCCAGGCUCAUUUCACCUGCUCCCAGCCCUUCCUGAGGGUCCCACCAUCUGAACAGCCCUGCGCGGGCUGUGGCCAUUCUCCAGCCCCUGGGCGGCGAGCCUGCUCUUUGGACAAUGCAGGCAGGGCAGAGGAAAAGGCAGACCUCAGAAGGGCUGUCAUCCCACAGUGGGGUUCCUCCCGGCACCCCUGUGAAUUGGCUGCUACCGAGCCUGUUUCCCAGGGCCUUUAGUUGUUGCUUGUCUCCUCAGCCCCUGGAGGCUGUAAUUCCUUCCAGAAUGCUUGCUUUAUUUUCAUGUUUCUAGUCUUCCAUGCUGUGUACACAAUACGAGGAAAAGAAAACACUGCGUGUGUGCUUCUACGGGCGUAAGAAAGUGACCUGAGCAAUUCUGCACCUAACCUAGUGGAAGAAAGACUCUCAAAGUCUGCAAGAAUGGUACCAUAGACAUAGAUAUAGAUAUCACUGCAGAUUCGGGAGAAAACAAUCCGUGAACUUCUACUCUUCGCAAGAACCGUGCUAGGCGCUGCCAGGAGCACAGAGAGAAGGCAGAGGGUGUGGACCCAAGGGCGGGAGGCCGAGAGGACCAGCUGAUGUGGGGAGGAGAGGAGACAGGAGAUCCGGACCAGCUCCAAGACGGACGUGGCGGAAGUACUGGAAUCGUUGAGGGUCCAUUCACCAACGAUCGCCCAAACAGUUGUUCUUUUUAUAAAAGCAUCGAGAUCCUUCCGUGUAUGAUGCACCUCCUGCCUGUUUCACCAGCCCUGCGGAGGAAGCCUCUUGCCAGGUCAUUAAACCACCAUCAGAGUCACGCCUGGAAUCCCACGAUGGAGGAGGCUGUACCGUCCCCGAUUUAACCCCCUGUUGUCCCCCUCCCCCAUGCCAACAUCUUGGUCACUCUGACAAGCCUUUCUGCUCACAUUCUCCAGGAGACUUCCUUGGAGAUGCCAUGGCUGUCUGAGAGGCAUCCGGGGUCCCGAUUGGACACCUGGCCCAGCCUGCUCAGGACAGCACAGCCCCAGGGAGGAGGGUGGUACCUGGUGGCCAAGAGCAGACUCUCAGAAACCGAGGGCUCCCAGGCGGUCCUGGAGACCCGCAGCCUCAGGCCACCACAGAAGGGCUUGGGGGCUGUGGAAAAGGGAGAGGCCUCAUCCCCCGGUUGCCAAGGCGACGCGGAAGCCUCUGAUUGCCCAGGAGGACCCAUGGCUCAGCAUCGGGCUUUUUCAGUACAGCCUACAAAGGUGUUUUCGUUCAUUCUGACCUGGUUUUCAUGGAUUUUGGUAUUGUUGUGUUGUUUGUUUAAAAAGAAAACACAUGGACUUACGUCAUGAAGAGGCAAAGACGUCACUGGCAUCAACUAAUAAAAAUGAUCAUAAACUCGUCCCCAGACUGAGCACCCGUAAUGACAGCUGACAGGUCCAGUGUGACACCUAAUGAGCCGUGCGAAGGCACAGGAUGUGGACAAAGUGGGACGAGGUCCCGUGGCAUUAGCACACCACUGUCAAGCUCGCAUCUGCUUGGUGGUUCCCGCUAAACCAGAAAACCAAACUUUGGUGGGAAAAAAGCAAAAUUUUCGUGUAGGACAGAGCUCAGUCUAAAACCCCUCAGAACGGGUGAGAGUUUUAAAUCGAGCAGAGCCUUUCAGGGUGCCUGGACCAGGAAGAAGGUCCAACCAGCACUGCCUCAGGGCCAGGAAUCUCUGGGUCACCCCGAGGCCUCAAAGGAGGUUUCCAGAACCUUCUUCUCAUAGAUAAACCACAGACCAGAAGUCAGCAGGCAGGGUUUGAAGACCUGGGCCACCAGCAUUGGAACUGCCUAAGUCUCAGAUCCCCAAACCAGCUGGGUUUCCUUCCGUUUUCUCAGAAUGGGUGUGCAGGUGCACGAGGAUGCCAUGGGCCACCUCCUGGUUUCCCUCGGCAACAUCUGACAGCAGACAUGGGAUGGUCUAUGAUGCUGUGAGGUAUUGGGAUCAUGUGGAAUCCGAAAGAAGUUUAAGCACCUAAAAAAACAGAGGAAGGGCUAGAGGCCUGGGCAUUCCCAGCCCACUUCAGCAUUUGUUCCCCUCGGACAGAGGGACUCCCAAGUGCUCUCAGGGCGAGUCCGCCUCUGUCCAGGCCUGCAGGUACACGCAGAGUCCUGGGCUGACUUGGGACCCGGUUGAAGCCUCUUUCCUUGUUGUCCAUGGUGACACGCAGAGCUGGCUGCAGGACCGGGGACCAGUCAGCGUCACGGCAUCAGGGCAGUGGCGGGAGCUGGGCUCUGUCAACUCUGACAAUUUUAUUUAUCUUAAUUUAUUUAUUUACUUUGGCCACACAGCGUGGCAUGCGGGAUCUUAGUUCCCUGACCAGGGAUUGAAUCCGGGCCCCCUGCAGUGGAAGUGUGGAGUCUUAACCACCGGACGGCCAGGGAAGUCCCAGCUUUGACAAUUUUAUAUCUUGUUUUUUCUAUUUAUAUAAAGGGAAUUUCUCUGUGUCAUUUUAUUUAAAGACGUUAUCUUCAGCGUUUAAUAUUCCGUCAUGUCUAAUAUUUAUUUCACACUUCCAUUUAUUUAACAUUUCACCUAUUUUCAGACAUGUGUUGUUUUUACACAAGCUAUGUGGCUUCAAACAACAGAAGUCCAU